rnacentral:tRNA from 1 species
UAGCGCAGUUGGUAGCGCAUCACCUUGCCAAGGUGAGGGUCGCGAGUUCGAGUCUCG